CCUACGGGAGGCAGCAGUGGGGAAUAUUGCACAAUGGGGGAAACCCUGAUGCAGCGACGCCGCGUGAGCGAUGAAGUAUUUCGGUAUGUAAAGCUCUAUCAGCAGGGAAGAAGAUGACGGUACCUGACUAAGAAGCCCCGGCUAACUACGUGCCAGCAGCCGCGGUAAUACGGAGGGGGCAAGCGUUAUCCGGAUUUACUGGGUGUAAAGGGAGCGUAGGCGGCGAUGCAAGACUGAGGGGAAAGCCCGGGGCUCAACCCCGGGACUGCAUUUGGAAAGGUGUGGCUGGAGUGACGGAGAGGCGAGCGGAAUUCCUAGUGUAGCGGUGGAAUGCGUAGAUAUUAGGAGGAACACCAGUGGCGAAGGCGGCCUGCUGGACGAUGACUGACGUUGAGGCUCGAAAGCGUGGGGAGCAAACAGGAUUAGAUACCCGAGUAGUC
rnacentral:rRNA from 1 species